rnacentral:sRNA from 1 species
AUCCAAAUCCGGUGCAGGGCUCAAGCCUCAAGCAGUUAGCGGCGGCGGGCGGUGAAGCGCCACGGGAAGGCGGCAGCUCCAGAGGGCAGCGUACGGGCAAGCGGCGGCUUCGGCGAUGAUGUAGAAGGGGGAGGAGCAGGGCGCCUCGGCUACGCUUCAGCAGGGGGGGCUCGUUGCUCUUUCCCCUCUUGUGCGUCAACUACAGGAUGCCCCUCAGCGGCGGUGAGAAGCGAGCAGCAUGGCGUGGCAAGCUAGCAACAACGACACACAGCAGCGACUCGUCCACAGAGACGAACGAUGUUGUUGCUGCUUGAUUUUUCUUUCUAUUUUUUCCCAUCUCAUAGUAUUUGCAACGCAAGGAAUUUCUCAUGAAUUGUACAAGGGGCAU